UACGAAGGGGGCUAGCGUUGCUCGGAAUCACUGGGCGUAAAGGGCGCGUAGGCGGAUCUUUAAGUCGGGGGUGAAAGCCUGAGGCUCAACCUCAGAAUUGCCUUCGAUACUGGAGAUCUUGAGUCCGGAAGAGGUGAGUGGAACUCCGAGUGUAGAGGUGAAAUUCGUAGAUAUUCGGAAGAACACCAGUGGCGAAGGCGGCUCACUGGUCCGGUACUGACGCUGAGGUGCGAAAGCGUGGGGAGCAAACAGG
rnacentral:rRNA from 1 species